rnacentral:rRNA from 1 species
CGAAAGCGUGGGGAUCAAACAGGAUUAGAUACCCUGGUAGNCCACGCAGUAAACGAUGAUAACUAGCUGCUUGCGAUACACAGUAAGCGGCACAGCGAAAGCGUUAAGUUAUCCACCUGGGGAGUACGCCGGCAACGGUGAAACUCAAAGGAAUUGACGGGGGNCCGCACAAGCGGAGGAACAUGUGGUUUAAUUCGAUGAUACGCGAGGAACCUUACCCGGGCUUGAACGUAGGGAGACAGUUCUGGAAACAGAAUCUCUAGCAAUAGCUGCCUACGAGGUGCUGCAUGGUUGUCGUCAGCUCGUGCCGUGAGGUGUCGGCUUAAGUGCCAUAACGAGCGCAACCCACAUCGAUAGUUACUAACAGGUUAAGCUGAGGACUCUAUCGAGACUGCCAGCGUAAGCUGUGAGGAAGGUGUGGAUGACGUCAAAUCAGCACGGCCCUUACGUCCGGGGCGACACACGUGUUACAAUGGGGGGUACAAAGGGCAGCUACCUGGCGACAGGAUGCUAAUCUCAAAAACCUCUCUCAGUUCGGAUUGGAGUCUGCAACCCGACUCCAUGAAGCUGGAUUCGCUAGUAAUCGCGCAUCAGCCACGGCGCGGUGAAUACGUUCCCGGGCCUUGUACACACCGCCCGUCAAGCCAUGGGAGCCGGGGGGACCUGAAGUAUGCAACCGUAAGGAGCGUCCUAGGGUAAAACUGGUGACUGGGGCU